rnacentral:rRNA from 1 species
AUUGAACGCUGGCGGCAUGCUUUACACAUGCAAGUCGAACGGCAGCGCGGGCUUCGGCCUGGCGGCGAGUGGCGAACGGGUGAGUAAUACAUCGGAACGUGCCCAGUAGUGGGGGAUAGCUCGGCGAAAGCCGGAUUAAUACCGCAUACGACCUGAGGGUGAAAGCGGGGGAUCUUCGGACCUCGCGCUAUUGGAGCGGCCGAUGGCAGAUUAGCUAGUUGGUGGGGUAAAGGCCUACCAAGGCGACGAUCUGUAGCUGGUCUGAGAGGACGACCAGCCACACUGGGACUGAGACACGGCCAAGACUCCUACGGGAGGCAGCAGUGGGGAAUUUUGGACAAUGGGCGAAAGCCUGAUCCAGCAAUGCCGCGUGUGUGAUGAAGGCCUUCGGGUUGUAAAGCACUUUUGGCGGGAACGAAAAGGACUGUGCCAAUACCACGGUUCGAUGACGGUACCCGCAGAAUAAGCACCGGCUAACUACGUG